CACCAGGAUCCCCACAGAUGUUGC
rnacentral:siRNA from 1 species